ACGUCUCGUCUGCGGCGGUAGAGGACGAUGAGUGGACGUCUCGUCUGCGGCGGUAGAGGACGAUGAGUGGACGUCUCGUCUGCGGCGGUUUGGCUCUGAAGCUGGAAACACACCUGCUCCUAGUCAGAAGAAAUGGUUGGAUCUGUUUUAUAAGAGGGAGAAAUGUCCAGUGCAGGUCCACGACCAGUCGAAACUUUCCGGUGGACCACAGAAACGUCUUUGUGGAUUCCACCCUCCUAAAGUGUUCAUUUCAGACUUUCAGGUCGUAAGUGUUCCACCUGCUGCAAGUGUUCCACCUGCUUUACUCCACUCCUACUGCUGUAGCGCCCCCUACCUCCACCCCCACCAUUAUACAGCCUGCACUUUUAUGUCAUUUAAGAAGACCCUUAUAUCUGUCAUUAUCAUCAUUAUUAUGUUUAAGUUCAUAAUAUACAAUAUGUGUCUUUACAGCCUGGAUUUCAAAGUCCAUCUCCUUCAGCCAGUCCUUCAUCUGCAUCCAGUCCUGCUGUUUCUUCCAGUUCUGCUCCUUUAAUUAUUUCUUGCUGGUGUUCUGAGCGACUCAUUUUACUGUUUAUUUGUGUGGAUUUACUACUAUUAUAAUCUAUAGUUAUUUAUGAUCAGGUUGUUGUUUUA